UCAAUAGAUUGGACUAUGUAU
rnacentral:miRNA from 1 species